rnacentral:rRNA from 1 species
UACGUAGGGUGCGAGCGUUAAUCGGAAUUACUGGGCGUAAAGCGUGCGCAGGCGGUUAUGCAAGACAGAUGUGAAAUCCCUCGGCUUAACCGGGGAACUGCGUCUGAUACUGGAUGGCUUGAGAUCGGGAGAGGGAUGCGGAAUUCCAGGUGUAGCGGUGAAAUGCGUAGAUAUCUGGAGGAACACCGGUGGCGAAGGCGGCAUCCUGGACCGACACUGACGCUGAGGAGCGAAAGCCAGGGGAGCAAACGGG